rnacentral:rRNA from 1 species
CCUACGGGAGGCAGCAGUGGGGAAUAUUGCACAAUGGGGGAAACCCUGAUGCAGCGACGCCGCGUGAGUGAGGAAGUAUUUCGGUAUGUAAAGCUCUAUCAGCCGGGAAGAAAAUGACGGUACCUGACUACGAAGCCCCGGCUAACUACGUGCCAGCAGCCGCGGUAAUACGUAGGGGGCAAGCGUUAUCCGGAUUUACUGGGUGUAAAGGGAGCGUAGACGGAAUAGCAAGUCUGAUGUGAAAACCCGGGGCUCAACUCCGGGAGUGCAUUGGAAACUGUUGAUCUAGAGUGUUGGAGAGGGAAGCGGAAUUCCGAGUGUAGCGGUGAAAUGCGUAGAUAUGAGGAGGAAUACCAGUGGCGAAGGCGGCCUGCUGGACGAUGACUGACGUUGAGGCUCGAAAGCGUGGGGAGCAAACAGGAUUAGAUACCCCAGUAGUC